ensembl:snRNA U6 U6 spliceosomal RNA
GUGCUCACUUUGGCAGCACAUACCCUAAAAUUGGAAGGAUACAGAGAUUAGCAUGGCCCCUGCACAAGGAUGACAUGCAAAUUCGAGAAGCAUUCCUUAUUUUU